UACAGAGGGGGGCAAGCGUUGUUCGGAAUUACUGGGCGUAAAGGGCGCGUAGGCGGCCCGCUAAGUCGAACGUGAAAUCCCCGAGCUCAACUCGGGAACUGCGUCCGAUACUGGCGGGCUUGAAUCCGGGAGAGGGAUGCGGAAUUCCAGGUGUAGCGGUGAAAUGCGUAGAUAUCUGGAGGAACACCGGUGGCGAAGGCGGCAUCCUGGACCGGCAUUGACGCUGAGGCGCGAAAGCCAGGGGAGCAAAGCGGG
rnacentral:rRNA from 1 species